rnacentral:rRNA from 1 species
UAGGGAAUCUUCGGCAAUGGACGAAAGUCUGACCGAGCAACGCCGCGUGAGUGAAGAAGGUUUUCGGAUCGUAAAACUCUGUUGUUAGAGAAGAACAAGGACGUUAGUAACUGAACGUCCCCUGACGGUAUCUAACCAGAAAGCCACGGCUAACUACGUGCCAGCAGCCGCGGUAAUACGUAGGUGGCAAGCGUUGUCCGGAUUUAUUGGGCGUAAAGCGAGCGCAGGCGGUUUCUUAAGUCUGAUGUGAAAGCCCCCGGCUCAACCGGGGAGGGUCAUUGGAAACUGGGAGACUUGAGUGCAGGAGAGGAGAGUGGAAGUCCAUGUGUAGCGGUGGAAUGCGUAGAUUUAUGGAGGAACACCAGUGGCGAAGGCGGCUCUCUGAUCUGUAACUGACGCUGAGGCAAGAAAGCGUGGGGAGCAAACAGG